GAUGAACUUUGGCCUUGAUGAAUUUGAGAUGGAAUGAUAUUGAACUUGAUUCUUGUUGAUGUUUUUGUAUUUUUUGUAUUUUAUUUUAAUCAUUUUUUUUCGUAUUUCAAUUGUUUGUUCUUAAUAGGGAUAUUGUCGGUAUUUUACUAUUUGUUGCUGCAUUGCUGAAUUAGUUAUGUGUUUUCUCAUUGUUUGUUGAUUUUUUU
rnacentral:lncRNA from 1 species